UACGUAGGGGGCUAGCGUUGUCCGGAUUUAUUGGGCGUAAAGAGCUCGUAGGCGGCUCAGUAAGUCAGGUGUGAAACCUCCAGGCUCAACCUGGAGACGCCACCUGAUACUGUUGUGGCUAGAGUCCGGUAGGGGAGCGUGGAAUUCCUGGUGUAGCGGUGAAAUGCGCAGAUAUCAGGAGGAACACCAGCGGCGAAGGCGGCGCUCUGGGCCGGAACUGACGCUGAGGAGCGAAAGCGUGGGUAGCAAACAGG
rnacentral:rRNA from 1 species